CUUAUUUGUACAAACUUAUGAAAUGUUGUGUUAAUUGUAUGUUUUCAAAAUUUUCUGAAUUUUAUAUUUAUGUUUUAUAAUAGUAAUAGGAUUUUUCUGUAUUCGUUUAUAAGAAUAGUAUUUUAUUAUUUUAAUAUUUUGCAUGAAAUUUGUGUUAGUAGGGGGCAGCUGGGUGGCUCAGUGGAUUGAGAACCAGGCCUAGAGACGGGAGGCCCUAGGUUCAAAUCUGGUCUUAGACACUUCUUAACUAUGUGACCCUGGGCAAGUCACUUGACCCACAUUGCCUAGCCCUUACCACUCUUCUGCCUUGGAACUAAUACACAGUAUUGAUUACAAGUCGGAAGGUAAGAGUUUAAAAAAAAAAGUGUGUUUGUAUUUCUAUUUUGAUGGAUUUGCUUACUUUGCUUUUGCAUUUGUUUGUUUUAUAUUUUGAACUUUGUAACUGUUUAAUAUAUAAUUUUCCCCCUUUUCCUUUCCUCGAUUUAAAUCCCUAGAGUAAGGUAGUAUUAGAUAGGAUAAGAUAGGUGAGUGUAGGUUAUUUAUUAUUUUGGGUAAGAAUUUUAGUUUAGGUGGGAUAUAAGUUAGUGCACAAAUACCAAAAUAUUGUUUUUAACACUAUUCUCUCCAUUUUGCUUAGUCUUAGAAUUCUAGCAUCCAGGAAUGUUUACAACCCUACUUAAGGAUUAAGUGUUGAAGAGGAUGGCCUGUGACUGACAUGUGCUAGCAAGUGACAAAUAAUAAACAACUGACAGACACCCUGGGCUGUCCUAAGUCAAGGUUAAGCUACCAUUGGUACAUGUGAGACAUAGGAAGUGAUAUAAAAAACUGUAUAUAUUUCACGUCAUUUCCUCUCAUUCUCUCUCUCAUGGAGACGUUGGGCUCUUUCAGCGUUGGGAGUUCGUGGUGGCGUUCUUAGUGUGCUUGGUGAAUGGUUUAGGCUGAUUCCUUUUUUCCUUUACCUCCUAAAGUGUUAUCCUCCUAAGAGGCCCCUCAUCUCGGAGGAGGACACAUGGCUAGAAGCCAAGCUAGAUUGAGAAGGCCCCUUGGCCUAGGACUCUGAACUCCUAUCUGGCUUUCCAGAGCAGUCCAAUUUGUUUCCCCUCUAUCUCUUCUUCUUAAUUUCUUCCUACUAUUGUAAUUAAAACUCCAUAAAAAUCCCAAACUGACUUGAAUAUUUUAUUGGGAUUGAAUUUUAAUCCCUGACGACCACUAAUAUAAUAUAUUCAGUCAACAACCCUAAUUUUUACCCUUAACAGUGCAAAGGAGGGAACUGUUAUAAGGAAAUAUAUAAGGAGCAGAAGCUGCUGAAAAGGCAGGAAGCAGGAAGGUUCCAGAAUUCUAUGAGAGUGACAGAGUUGCUUUUCCUGGGGGACAGUUGAAGGUGGAGAUUAGUUGGUCUAAGCUCCUUAGGUGGACCCUGUGAGUUUGACUAGUCUCCCUCUCCUGUGGCUGUCUUUCUGAUCCAACUGCCUGUUCCUGUGUUUCUGUAUAUAUCCGGUUGUUGCUGAUAGUGAUACUCCAACAGAGUUGCUUAAGACAUCCAAGAGCCAACUGGCCAAAGAUGGCAUAGAAGAGCAUACGUACCCAGUUCAGUUCAGGGGACACAUUUUGUACUUCUCUUCUUGCUAUAUCUUCUCAAAUCAAUACUGCUAUUGGAUCCAAGCCAGAAGAGCCUUAAGGGCUUUGUCCCCGGAGCGUCUGAGGUCACCACUGAACCCAGGACCUGCUCUCUAGGCCCCCAGCUGCCCCGUGACAAAGAGGUCCAUUUCUCGUUUAUUUUACCCAUUCCGUUGAAUGGCAACUUUCCACCUAAGUGACAGGCUCCAGCAUGUGUGAGAACGAUCCAAAAGAGAAAAAGAAGAGCGCUAAGAAAACCCAAUCAGCCAGGCGCAGGGUCGGCCGGGAAGGGCCACCGUCUCAGCUCUUCUAAUCCCUAAACAUCCGCCUUCCCGGACUGCUCCUCCCGCGGAUGCCGGAGGACUCUGCAGGAGCUUCUCCAAGGCAGAGGAUGUUACGGUCCGCUCGGCGGCACGGCGGGAGCCAGGAGACCCCCCCCCCCCCGGGCCACUCCCUGCUGUACUGAAGCCCCCGUGGCUGCCUCCCGCGGGUCCGAGGAAGGACGUGGGAGCGAGGAAAUGGCAGACAGAGCCCGACCCGCCCUCUCCAUAUCCCAAGGGGCCAUCCGAGCGAGCGGCGAGCCGAGGGCGAGAAGACACUUGUCCGAGCAUGUUUUGACACCUGGAACCCCUGCGGGGCUCAUGAGCCCGGAGGAAUCUGGCCUAUCUUGAUGGAGGAAGAACAGAAGGUUCUUCCAGUCAGAAAUAGGAUGUCCACCUGUCCGGGCCACGGCCCAAGGGCCGCUGAGGCUCCGAGAUUGGGGGAUGCUGCCCUUCCGACUGGGCGCUCCCUGCCCUUCUCCGCCCCGCCCCCAGCCCCCAGCCCCGCGCCUUUUCCCGGGACACAUCCCCAAAGGGACAGGAAGCGCUCUCGAGCUCACAUGACUUGGCCAGCUAUGAUUGAAGAGUGAGUCAGACGGGGUGGGACUGUGGGGAAAACCUUCAGUUCCUUCCUAUUAGUCAAGGAGGCUCCCGAAAACAGGUGGAAUUUGUGGAAUUGUUUGGAGGAGAAGAGAACGAAGGCCAAGGCGGGGGGGCGGGGCUGCCGGAGGCCGGAACUCGUCAGCUAGACGGCUCUGGCGCGGGCCGCGCUCUCCAGCUCUAGGAGAGCAGGGCUGGCCGCUUUCCCUGGCUCAGCAGCCUGGCCCACUCCCGCCCCAAGGCGAGGGCUCCCGGACAGCCGUGGCCUCCUUGGAAUGGACAGUAGAAUGGCCCAGACUCUCCUGCUAGCCGGUGGUCGGCCCCCGGCGCCGCCAUUUCUCUCGGUUCUGCUUCUUUUGGGUCCUCGUGCCACUGCCCGGACUGUCGCCGGAGCUUCCACCCUCCCUCCCCCCCUUCCUAUCUGCUCUCCCUGCUGGUGCUCUCCCCACUUUACACGGGGUCAUUUUCUCAGACCCCGCCCUGCCCGUGUCGUCGGCCUUCGCCAGGCACCGCCAGGGACUCCUCAGCCCUUCCUCGAGCAAAUCCUAGCUCCUCCGGGGGCUUUCCCGGAUCCCUCCCUAUUACCUGCCUCCACAACUCUAGAUUCUAACAUCUACUACCAGACAUAACACUUGCCACCUCAACACCUUUGCCCAGGCUUUCCCCAUGCCUGGAAUGCCAUCCCACUUCACUCUCGAUACAGGAAGCCUUUUCUGACCCCCUCCCAAAUCGCCUUGGAUUUACUCUGAAUAUCCAGGGUGUCCCCAAAGUCUACUUGCAGUUUCAAAUAGGAAGAGCUUCCAUUUUAGGGGAGAGAAAAGCAAGGAGUAAAAUCCAAGAGAUUUAUUUCUGUUUGGGGCCAUUCACCUUAGAGAGGUCAAGUCUCCGUUUACCUACCAACAUUCCAGGGGGGGAAGGGGAGGAGAGGAAGAGGGGAGAGAGACAGAGGAAGAGGGGAGAGAGACAGGAAGAGGAGAGAGAGACAGAGGAAGAAGGAAGAGGGAGAGAGGAAGAAGGGAGAGGGAGACAGGAAGAGGGGAGAGGGAAACAGGAAGAGGGGAGAGAGAGAAGAGGGGAGAGGGAGAGACAGGAAGAGGGGGAAAGGGAGAGGGUGAGAGAGAGGAAGAGGAGGGAGGGGGAGAGAGGAAGAAGGGAGAGGGGAGAGACAGACGAGAGAGAGGAAGAGGGGAGAGGGAGACAGAGGAAGAGGGGAGAGGGAGACAGGAAGAGGGGAGAGGGAGACAGAGGAAGAGGGGAGAGGGAGACAGAGGGAGAGGAAGAAGGGAGAGGGUGAGAGAGAGGAAGAGGGGAGAGGGAGAGAGGAAGAGGGGAGAGGGAGAGAGGAAGAGGGGAGAGAGAGACAGGAAGAGGGGAGAGAGACAGGAAGAGGGGAGAGGGAAAGAGAGAGAGGAAGAGGGGAGAGGGAGAGAG